rnacentral:rRNA from 1 species
GACGAACGCUGGCGGCGUGCUUAACACAUGCAAGUCGAACGGUGACGGAGGAGCUUGCUCCUCCUGAUCAGUGGCGAACGGGUGAGUAACACGUGAGCAAUCUGCCCCUGACUCUGGGAUAACUGCGGGAAACUGUAGCUAAUACCGGAUACGACGCGCGAAGGCAUCUUCUGCGCGUGGAAAGAAUUUCGAUCAGGGAUGAGCUCGCGGCCUAUCAGCUUGUUGGUGAGGUAAUGGCUCACCAAGGCGACGACGGGUAGCCGGCCUGAGAGGGUGACCGGCCACACUGGGACUGAGACACGGCCCAGACUCCUACGGGAGGCAGCAGUGGGGAAUAUUGCACAAUGGGCGCAAGCCUGAUGCAGCAACGCCGCGUGAGGGACGACGGCCUUCGGGUUGUAAACCUCUUUUGGCAGGGAAGAAGCGAAAGUGACGGUACCUGCAGAAAAAGCACCGGCUAACUACGUG